rnacentral:rRNA from 1 species
UCUAGUGGCGGACGGGUGAGUAACGCGUGGGUAACCUGCCUUAUACAGGGGGAUAACAGUCAGAAACGACUGCUAAUACCGCAUAAGCCCACGGCUCGGCAUCGAGCAGAGGGAAAAGGAGCAAUCCGCUUUGAGAUGGCCUCGCGUCCGAUUAGCUAGUUGGUGAGGUAACGGCCCACCAAGGCGACGAUCGGUAGCCGGACUGAGAGGUUGAACGGCCACAUUGGGACUGAGACACGGCCCAGACUCCUACGGGAGGCAGCAGUGGGGAAUAUUGCACAAUGGGGGAAACCCUGAUGCAGCGACGCCGCGUGGAGGAAGAAGGUCUUCGGAUUGUAAACUCCUGUUGUUGAGGAAGAUAAUGACGGUACUCAACAAGGAAGUGACGGCUAACUACGUGCCAGCAGCCGCGGUAAAACGUAGGUCACAAGCGUUGUCCGGAAUUACUGGGUGUAAAGGGAGCGCAGGCGGGAGAACAAGUUGGAAGUGAAAUCCAUGGGCUCAACCCAUGAACUGCUUUCAAAACUGUUUUUCUUGAGUAGUGCAGAGGUAGGCGGAAUUCCCGGUGUAGCGGUGGAAUGCGUAGAUAUCGGGAGGAACACCAGUGGCGAAGGCGGCCUACUGGGCACCAACUGACGCUGAGGCUCGAAAGUGUGGGUAGCAAACAGGAUUAGAUACCCUGGUAGUCCACACCGUAAACGAUGAUUACUAGGUGUUGGAGGAUUGACCCCUUCAGUGCCGCAGUUAACACAAUAAGUAAUCCACCUGGGGAGUACGACCGCAAGGUUGAAACUCAAAGGAAUUGACGGGGGCCCGCACAAGCAGUGGAGUAUGUGGUUUAAUUCGACGCAACGCGAAGAACCUUACCAAGUCUUGACAUCCCUUGACGAUGCUGGAAACAGUAUUUCUCUUCGGAGCAAGGAGACAGGUGGUGCAUGGUUGUCGUCAGCUCGUGUCGUGAGAUGUUGGGUUAAGUCCCGCAACGAGCGCAACCCUUAUGGUCAGUUACUACGCAAGAGGACUCUGGCCAGACUGCCGUUGACAAAACGGAGGAAGGUGGGGAUGACGUCAAAUCAUCAUGCCCUUUAUGACUUGGGCUACACACGUACUACAAUGGCGUUAAACAAAGAGAAGCAAGACCGCGAGGUGGAGCAAAACUCAGAAACAACGUCCCAGUUCGGACUGCAGGCUGCAACUCGCCUGCACGAAGUCGGAAUUGCUAGUAAUCGUGGAUCAGCAUGCCACGGUGAAUACGUUCCCGGGCCUUGCACACACCGCCCGUCA